GCAGCAGCAGCAGCAGCAGCAGCAAAAGAGCCCUGGCGUCCGCACUGAAGGAAUAACCCGGUUCGAGACCGUUUUAACUGCCAUGGCUGAAAUGAUACGGAAUAUCUGGGGUUUCCAGUUUGGAAACAGCCCUGCAGCAUCAUCACUGGACUUACUGCAUGGAGAAGGGAGAAACACGUCAUGGUUUUCCACAUUCACUGAGGUCCUUCACCCCUAAUCACAGCGAAUGCAGAGAGACCACUGUAGUUUAACUGAAAGGCCAUUUUAAGAUGGGAUGACCAACUGGACAGACUUUACCCAAUAUAUUACUUCCAAGGAUGGAAUUACCCCAUUGGCCCAUCAAGUAACCUGUUUGUUUAUCUUGCUUCUGGAUUGGCAACUGGACAUGCCAUUGAUGUUUUAGGAAGCCAAGGUUUUCACAGCUAACUUAUUUAUUGUGGUACAGGUGAGCCAUCAUGUACAACUUAACUUGGCUAUUUGGUAAUUCAUUGGAACCCAUGGAGUAGUUAAUACAAUUUUCUAUAACACUUUUGAUCAUAUUCAUGCAAUUCCACAAGGAACCCUAAAGUUUCCAGAGGCCCAGGACAGCAGAGCUUUGCCCUCAACUCUUUAUAAUGUCACAACAAUACAAUCAUUCAAUAUGGAUGUUCUCAAGUCUGUUGGCAGUGACAUCAGCAACUAUCCAUCAGCAACUAUGCUAUGGCAAAUUCAACAGGAUGGGCAAUGGGUUAUUCUUUAUCAUCUCCCUCAGCCUUGAUUCCCUGUAUUAAACAACAAAGGUACCAAACUAGGAGAACAAGAAUGAAGUUCAUAAGAAAUUCAGAUAUCAGAGAAAAAUUACUGCUGUCAAAUUCUACACACAGAAAAUUCAUGCUUGUGUCUGCAAUAACAAGGACCCUGCUAUUUAGGAUAAACCUUCUUUUCAUCCAUCUUAAAUGGUCCUCAAAGCUGGUAACCCAUAAAUACAUAACACCAUUCAUAGUUACCUGCAAAUGGUUUAGCACAAAUGUCUUGAUUUCCUUUUUCAGGGUGGUAACAGUAUUGUCUGCGAUCCAUUAUUAGUUUCCCAAAUCUAUAGUAUUUUGCUAGCAGCAAAGGCAGACUAAUCCACAGCAAAAUCCACAGGUAGUUAUCAGAUUAAAGUGUAUCUAAUACUUACUUAGACCAUCCACUGUACAAUAUACCUUGUUUGCAAGGGUUUUUUAUUUAUUACCCAUAAAAAGACAUCCACAUAAGUUUAUAUUCUUUAAACAUACAAUAUAAGCUAUCAAAUCAAUACAGCUUUUCAAUGCUCAUAUAGGCGGUUUACAGACCGCCCUUUUGGGGCGGCCUGUUCCCGCCCCUUUCCCCGCCGGAUCGGAGCCUCAGCUGCCAGAGCGGCAGCCUCUGAGGCCACGAUCUGCCGCU